UACGAAGGGGGCUAGCGUUAAUCGGAAUUACUGGGCGUAAAGCGUGCGCAGGCGGUUUUGUAAGUCUGAUGUGAAAUCCCCGGGCUCAACCUGGGAAUUGCGUUGGAGACUGCAAGGCUAGAAUCUGGCAGAGGGGGGUAGAAUUCCACGUGUAGCAGUGAAAUGCGUAGAGAUGUGGAGGAACACCGAUGGCGAAGGCAGCCCCCUGGGUCAAGAUUGACGCUCAUGCACGAAAGCGUGGGGAGCAAACAGG
rnacentral:rRNA from 1 species